UACGGAGGUCCCGAGCGUUGUUCGGAUUUAUUGGGCGUAAAGGGUGCGUAGGCGGCGGAGUAAGUUGGGUGUGAAAUCCCGGGGCUUAACCUCGGAAUGGCAUUCAAUACUGCUUCGCUCGAGUACUGGAGAGGAGGCUGGAAUUUACGGUGUAGCAGUGAAAUGCGUAGAUAUCGUAAGGAAGGCCGGUGGCGAAAGCGAGCCUCUGGACAGUUACUGACGCUGAUGCACGAAGGCCAGGGGAGCAAACGGG
rnacentral:rRNA from 1 species